rnacentral:rRNA from 1 species
AUUGAACGCUGGCGGAAUGCUUUACACAUGCAAGUCGAGCGGCAGCGCAGGGGCAACCCUGGCGGCGAGCGGCGAACGGGUGAGUAACAUAUCGGAACGUACCCCGUCGUGGGGGAUAACUAUCCGAAAGGAUAGCUAAUACCGCAUACGACCUGAGGGUGAAAGCGGGGGACCGUAAGGCCUCGCGCGAUGGGAGCGGCCGAUAUCGGAUUAGCUAGUUGGUGAGGUAAAGGCUCACCAAGGCGACGAUCCGUAGCUGGUCUGAGAGGACGACCAGCCACACUGGAACUGAGACACGGUCCAGACUCCUACGGGAGGCAGCAGUGGGGAAUUUUGGACAAUGGGGGCAACCCUGAUCCAGCCAUUCCGCGUGAGUGAAGAAGGCC